UUCCGGUUGAUCCUGCCGGAAGUUACUGCUAUCGGGGUCCGACUAAGCCAUGCGAGUCGAGAGGGGUAAAGCCUCGGCGGACGGCUAAGUAACACGCGGAUAACCUGCCCUUGGGUCCGGGAUAACCCCGGGAAACUGGGACUAAUACCGGAUAGAUCAAAGAUACUGGAAUGUUCUCUGGUCCAAAGCUCCGGCGCCCACGGAUGGGUCUGCGGCCUAUUAGGUAGUAGUGGGUGUAACGUACCUACUAGCCUACGACGGGUAAGGGUUGUGAGAGCAAGAGCCCUGAGAUGGAUUCUGAGACAUGAAUCCAGGCCCUACGGGGUGCAGCAGGCGCGAAAACUUUACAAUGCGGCAACCGCGAUAAGGAGACCCCGAGUGCCAGCACAUGGUGUUGGCUG
rnacentral:rRNA from 1 species